rnacentral:rRNA from 1 species
AACGGACGCUGGCGGCAGGCCUAACACAUGCAAGUCGAGCGAAGCCUUCGGGCUUAGCGGCGGACGGGUGAGUAACGCGUGGGAACGUGCCCUUUGGUACGGAAUAGCCCCGGGAAACUGGGAGUAAUACCGUAUGUGGUCGAGAGACGAAAGAUUUAUCGCCAAAGGGUCGGCCCGCGUUGGCUUAGGUAGUUGGUGGGGUAAUGGCCUACCAAGCCGACGAUCCAUAGCUGGUUUGAGAGGAUGAUCAGCCACACUGGGACUGAGACACGGCCCAGACUCCUACGGGAGGCAGCAGUGGGGAAUCUUAGACAAUGGGGGAAACCCUUAUCUAGCCAUGCCGCGUGAUCGAUGAAGGCCUUAGGGUUGUAAAGAUCUUUCAGUGGGGAAGAUAAUGACUGUACCCACAGAAGAAGCCCCGGCUAACUCCGUGUCAGCCGCCGCGGUAACAC